GCAUGCGGCAGCUACCAUGCAGUCGACGAUGAUGCCCAGCUUGCUGGGCGGAUUAGUGGCGAACGGGUGAGUAAUACGUGAGUAACCUGCCCUUGACUCUGGGAUAAGCCUGGGAAACUGGGUCUAAUACUGGAUACUACCUCUUGCCGCAUGGUGGGUGGUGGAAAGGGUUUUACUGGUUUUGGAUGGGCUCACGGCCUAUCAGCUUGUUGGUGGGGUAAUGGCUCACCAAGGCGACGACGGGUAGCCGGCCUGAGAGGGUGACCGGCCACACUGGGACUGAGACACGGCCCAGACUCCUACGGGAGGCAGCAGUGGGGAAUAUUGCACAAUGGGCGGAAGCCUGAUGCAGCGACGCCGCGUGAGGGAUGACGGCCUUCGGGUUGUAAACCUCUUUCAGUAGGGAAGAAGCGAGAGUGACGGUACCUGCAGAAGAAGCGCCGGCUAACUACGUGCCAGCAGCCGCGGUAAUACGUAGGGCGCAAGCGUUGUCCGGAAUUAUUGGGCGUAAAGAGCUCGUAGGCGGUUUGUCGCGUCUGCUGUGAAAGCCCGGGGCUCAACCCCGGGUCUGCAGUGGGUACGGGCAGACUAGAGUGCAGUAGGGGAGACUGGAAUUCCUGGUGUAGCGGUGAAAUGCGCAGAUAUCAGGAGGAACACCGAUGGCGAAGGCAGGUCUCUGGGCUGUUACUGACGCUGAGGAGCGAAAGCAUGGGGAGCGAACAGGAUUAGAUACCCUGGUAGUCCAUGCCGUAAACGUUGGGCACUAGGUGUGGGGGACAUUCCACGUUUUCCGCGCCGUAGCUAACGCAUUAAGUGCCCCGCCUGGGGAGUACGGCCGCAAGGCUAAAACUCAAAGGAAUUGACGGGGGCCCGCACAAGCGGCGGAGCAUGCGGAUUAAUUCGAUGCAACGCGAAGAACCUUACCAAGGCUUGACAUUCACCGGACCGCCCCAGAGAUGGGGUUUCCCUUCGGGGCUGGUGGACAGGUGGUGCAUGGUUGUCGUCAGCUCGUGUCGUGAGAUGUUGGGUUAAGUCCCGCAACGAGCGCAACCCUCGUUCUAUGUUGCCAGCACGUGAUGGUGGGGACUCAUAGGAGACUGCCGGGGUCAACUCGGAGGAAGGUGGGGAUGACG
rnacentral:rRNA from 1 species